rnacentral:rRNA from 1 species
GCAUGGUUGUCGUCAGCUCGUGCCGUGAGGUGUCAGGUUAAGUCCUAUAACGAGCGCAACCCCUGUGGUUAGUUGCCAGCGAGUAAUGUCGGGAACUCUAGCCAGACUGCCGGUGCAAACCGCGAGGAAGGUGGGGAUGACGUCAAAUCAUCACGGCCCUUACGUCCUGGGCCACACACGUGCUACAAUGGUAGGGACAGAGAGCAGCCACUUCGCGAGAAGGAGCGAAUCUACAAACCCUAUCACAGUUCGGAUCGCAGUCUGCAACUCGACUGCGUGAAGCUGGAAUCGCUAGUAAUCGCAUAUCAGCCAUGAUGCGGUGAAUACGUUCCCGGGCCUUGUACACACCGCCCGUCAAGCCAUGGAAGCCGGGGGUACCUGAAGUCGGCCACCGCAAGGAGCCGCCUAGGGUAAAACUGGUAACUGGGGCUAAGUCGUAACAAGGUAACCGUA